UAGGGAAUCUUCGGCAAUGGACGAAAGUCUGACCGAGCAACGCCGCGUGAGUGAAGAAGGUUUUCGGAUCGUAAAACUCUGUUGUUAGAGAAGAACAAGGACGUUAGUAACUGAACGUCCCCUGACGGUAUCUAACCAGAAAGCCACGGCUAACUACGUGCCAGCAGCCGCGGUAAUACGUAGGUGGCAAGCGUUGUCCGGAUUUAUUGGGCGUAAAGCGAGCGCAGGCGGUUUCUUAAGUCUGAUGUGAACGCCCCCGGCUCAACCGGGGAGGGUCAUUGGAAACUGGAAGACUUGAGUGCAGAAGAGGAGAGUGUAAUUCCAUGUGUAGCGGUGAAAUGCGUAGAUAUAUGGAGGAACACCAGUGGCGAAGGCGUCUCUCUGGUCUGUAACUGACGCUGAGGCUCGAAAGCGUGGGGAGCAAACAGG
rnacentral:rRNA from 1 species